AUACCUUUCUCGGCCUUUUGGCUAAGAUCAAGUGUAGUAUCUGUUCUUAUCAGUUUAAUAUCUGAUAUGUGGGCCAAUGGCCCACAACGAUAUUAAAUUUAUUUUUGAAGGGGAAGGAUUACAGCGAAGGCCUGGCGCACCCCUCCAAAUAUUGUUCCUCUUGGAAUUCAUUUGUUAUUUUAUAUUCUCACUUGCUCUAUAUUUGUUCCUUUU
rfam:Beta vulgaris subsp. vulgaris Bvchr9.sca025.con0119.1, whole genome shotgun sequence.